UACGGAGGGUGCAAGCGUUAUCCGGAUUCACUGGGUUUAAAAGGUGCGUAGGUGGGCUGGUAAGUCAGUGGUGAAAUCUCCAGGCUUAACUUGGAAACUGCCAUUGAUACUAUCAGUCUUGAAUACCGUGGAGGUCAGCGGAAUAUGUCAUGUAGCGGUGAAAUGCUUAGAUAUGACAUAGAACACCAAUUGCGAAGGCAGCUGGCUACACGAAUAUUGACACUGAUGCACGAAAGCGUGGGGAUCAAACAGG
rnacentral:rRNA from 1 species